CUAAAAUGUUGUUCCCAAGAGAUUCCAGGCAUGUGAGCCACAUGGCCAGGGUCACUGCCAAGACCACAGUGUGGUCGUGUCCCUGGAAAGUACAGCCACAGUUCACUCAGGGCUGACAAGAGCCUGGGGGUUCACACUAAGUUCCUUGACCCUCAAGGGCGGAAUCCCACCCGUUUCUCUUGUGCCCAGGUCCAGUGCCCAGUAAAGGGACCGUCCAUGUUGGUAAAUGAAGUAAGUAGGUGUCCCAUGGGGGCACACGUGACAGCGAUUUAGGCCUUCUUACUUCAGGGAUGGAAGCUCAGAUACAAAAGAGCAGAAAUCUGACCGCGGUUCUUGGUU
rnacentral:lncRNA from 1 species